GAGCACCCCUGAUAGUUAGUUUUAGGUUGGGGUGACCGCGGAUUAAAACAAAACCUCCACAAUGAAUGUAAUAAAAUUCUUAUAAAAGAACCACAAUUCUAAUAAUCAAAAAUUUGACAUAAAUUGACCCAAACACUUGAUCAAUGAACCAAGUUACCCUGGGGAUAACAGCGCAAUCCAUUUUAAGAGCCCAUAUCGACAAAUGGGUUUACGACCUCGAUGUUGGAUCAGGGUAUCCUGGUGGUGCAGCCGCUA
rnacentral:rRNA from 1 species